UACGUAGGGUGCGAGCGUUAAUCGGAAUUACUGGGCGUAAAGCGUGCGCAGGCGGUUUUGUAAGCCAGAUGUGAAAUCCCCGGGCUUAACCUGGGAAUGGCAUUUGGGACUGCAAGGCUUGAGUGCGGCAGAGGAGACUGGAAUUCCUGGUGUAGCAGUGAAUGCGUAGAUAUCAGGAGGAAUACCGAUGGCGAAGGCAGGUCUCUGGGCUGACACUGA
rnacentral:rRNA from 1 species